rnacentral:rRNA from 1 species
AUACGGAGGGUGCAAGCGUUAUUCGGAAUCACUGGGCGUAAAGGGUGCGUAGGCGGUUUGGUAAGUCUGAUGUGAAAUCCUAUGGCUCAACCAUAGAACUGCAUUGGAAACUGCUAGACUAGAAUACUGAAGGGGCAGAUGGAAUUAGUGGUGUAGGGGUAAAAUCCGUAGAUAUCACUAGGAAUACCGAAAGCGAAAGCGAUCUGCUGGGAAGUUAUUGACGCUGAGGCACGAAAGCGUGGGGAGCAAACGGGAUUAGAAACCCCAGUAGUCC